rnacentral:rRNA from 1 species
CGAGCGGCAAACGGGUGAGUAACACGUUGGAACCUGCCCUUAAGUGAGGGAUAACCCACCGAAAGGUGGACUAAUACCGCAUAUGCCCUACGGGGUAAAGCAGCAAUGCGCUUAGGGAGGGUCCUGCGUACUAUCAGCUAGUUGGUGAGGUAAAGGCUCACCAAGGCGACGACGGUUAGCUGGUCUGAGAGGAUGACCAGCCACAAGGGAACUGAGACACGGUCCCUACUCC